rnacentral:misc_RNA from 1 species
GACGAACCGUGCAAACGUUGUUCGGAAUCACUGGGCUUAAAGGGCGCGUAGGCGGUGUGUUAAGUCGGCGGUGAAAUGCUCCAGCUCAACUGGAGAAUUGCCGUCGAAACUAGCACGCUAGAGGGGGGUAGAGGUGCGUGGAACUUCCGGUGGAGCGGUGAAAUGCGUUGAUAUCGGAAGGAACGCCUGUGGCGAAAGCGACGCACUGGACCUUUUCUGACGCUGAGGCGCGAAAGCUAGGGUAGCGAACGGG